GAAAGGAAGGGCGGGGUGCUUACACAUGCAAGUCGAACGGGAUCCAUCGGGCUUUGCUUGGUGGUGAGAGUGGCGAACGGGUGAGUAAUGCGUGACCGACCUGCCCCAUGCACCGGAAUAGCUCCUGGAAACGGGUGGUAAUGCCGGAUGCUCCAUCACACCGCAUGGUGUGUUGGGAAAGCCUUUGCGGCAUGGGAUGGGGUCGCGUCCUAUCAGCUUGAUGGCGGGGUAACGGCCCACCAUGGCUUCGACGGGUAGCCGGCCUGAGAGGGCGACCGGCCACAUUGGGACUGAGAUACGGCCCAGACUCCUACGGGAGGCAGCAGUGGGGAAUAUUGCACAAUGGGCGCAAGCCUGAUGCAGCGACGCCGCGUGAGGGAUGGAGGCCUUCGGGUUGUAAACCUCUUUUGUUAGGGAGCAAGGCACUUUGUGUUGAGUGUACCUUUCGAAUAAGCACCGGCUAACUACGUGCCAGCAGCCGCGGUAAUACGUAGGGUGCAAGCGUUAUCCGGAAUUAUUGGGCGUAAAGGGCUCGUAGGCGGUUCGUCGCGUCCGGUGUGAAAGUCCAUCGCUUAACGGUGGAUCCGCGCCGGGUACGGGCGGGCUUGAGUGCGGUAGGGGAGACUGGAAUUCCCGGUGUAACGGUGGAAUGUGUAGAUAUCGGGAAGAACACCAAUGGCGAAGGCAGGUCUCUGGGCCGUUACUGACGCUGAGGAGCGAAAGCGUGGGGAGCGAACAGGAUUAGAUACCCUGGUAGUCCACGCCGUAAACGGUGGAUGCUGGAUGUGGGGCCCGUUCCACGGGUUCCGUGUCGGAGCUAACGCGUUAAGCAUCCCGCCUGGGGGAGUACGGCCGCAAGGCUAAAACUCAAAGAAAUUGACGGGGGCCCGCACAAGCGGCGGAGCAUGCGGAUUAAUUCGAUGCAACGCGAAGAACCUUACCUGGGCUUGACAUGUUCCCGACGAUCCCAGAGAUGGGGUUUCCCUUCGGGGCGGGUUCACAGGUGGUUGCAUGGUCGUCGUCAGCUCGUGUCGUGAGAUGUUGGGUUAAGUCCCGGCAACGAGCGCAAACCCUCGCCCCGUGUU
rnacentral:rRNA from 1 species